AGCUAUACAUGCAGUCGAGCGAAUGGAUUGAGAGCUUGCUCUCAAGAAGUUAGCGGCGGACGGGUGAGUAACACGUGGGUAACCUGCCCAUAAGACUGGGAUAACUCCGGGAAACCGGGGCUAAUACCGGAUAACAUUUUGAACUGCAUGGUUCGAAAUUGAAAGGCGGCUUCGGCUGUCACUUAUGGAUGGACCCGCGUCGCAUUAGCUAGUUGGUGAGGUAACGGCUCACCAAGGCAACGAUGCGUAGCCGACCUGAGAGGGUGAUCGGCCACACUGGGACUGAGACACGGCCCAGACUCCUACGGGAGGCAGCAGUAGGGAAUCUUCCGCAAUGGACGAAAGUCUGACGGAGCAACGCCGCGUGAGUGAUGAAGGCUUUCGGGUCGUAAAACUCUGUUGUUAGGGAAGAACAAGUGCUAGUUGAAUAAGCUGGCACCUUGACGGUACCUAACCAGAAAGCCACGGCUAACUACGUGCCAGCAGCCGCGGUAAUACGUAGGUGGCAAGCGUUAUCCGGAAUUAUUGGGCGUAAAGCGCGCGCAGGUGGUUUCUUAAGUCUGAUGUGAAAGCCCACGGCUCAACCGUGGAGGGUCAUUGGAAACUGGGAGACUUGAGUGCAGAAGAGGAAAGUGGAAUUCCAUGUGUAGCGGUGAAAUGCGUAGAGAUAUGGAGGAACACCAGUGGCGAAGGCGACUUUCUGGUCUGUAACUGACACUGAGGCGCGAAAGCGUGGGGAGCAAACAGGAUUAA
rnacentral:rRNA from 1 species